UACCUUAUAUGUAAUCACAGCAGUCAGGCGGCGAGUGAUAAAAUCCGUCGUCAAGAGGGAAACAACCCAGACUACCAGCUAAGGUCCCUAAAUCUUACUUAAGUGGAAAACGAUGUGAAGUUACUUAAACAACCAGGAGGUUGGCUUAGAAGCAGCCAUCCUUUAAAGAAAGCGUAAUAGCUCACUGGUCUAGUGAUUUUGCGCGGAAAAUAUAACGGGGCUAAAGUAAGUACCGAAGCUGUAGACUUGCGCACAACUUAGAUUAUUUAAGUUUAGAAUAUGAGAAACUAAGUUAUAUUUUUACUGAUUUUUAUAGAGUAAAGAUAGAAAUAAAACUUAGUAAAAUCAGUAAAAAUAUUCUUAGGCUAAAGUUAAGUAGUUUAAGUUGUGUGCAAGUGGUAGGAGAGCGUUCUAUUUGCGUCGAAGGUAUACCGGUAAGGAGUGCUGGAGCGAAUAGAAGUGAGCAUGCAGGCAUGAGUAGCGAUAAUUAAUGUGAGAAUCAUUAACGCCGUAAACCCAAGGUUUCCUACGCGAUGCUCGUCAUCGUAGGGUUAGUCGGGUCCUAAGUCGAGUCCGAAAGGGGUAGACGAUGGCAAAUUGGUUAAUAUUCCAAUACCAACAUUAGUGUGCGAUGGAAGGACGCUUAGGGCUAAGGGGGCUAGCGGAUGGAAGUGCUAGUCUAAGGUCGUAGGAGGUUAUACAGGCAAAUCCGUAUAACAAUACUCCGAGAACUGAAAGGCUUUUUGAAGUCUUCGGAUGGAUAGAAGAACCCCUGAUGCCGUCGAGCCAAGAAAAGUUUCUAAGUUUAGCUAAUGUUGCCCGUACCGUAAACCGACACAGGUGGGUGGGAUGAGUAUUCUAAGGCGCGUGGAAGAACUCUCUUUAAGGAACUCUGCAAAAUAGCACCGUAUCUUCGGUAUAAGGUGUGGUUAGCUUCGUACUAGGAUUUACUCCGAAAGCGAAGAAACUUACAACAAAGAGUCCCUCCCGACUGUUUACCAAAAACACAGCACUCUGCUAACUCGUAAGAGGAUGUAUAGGGUGUGACGCCUGCCCGGUGCUCGAAGGUUAAUUGAUGGGGUUAGCAUUAGCGAAGCUCUUGAUCGAAGCCCGAGUAAACGGCGGCCGUAACUAUAACGGUCCUAAGGUAGCGAAAUUCCUUGUCGGUUAAAUACCGACCUGCAUGAAUGGCGUAACGAGAUGGGAGCUGUCUCAAAGAGGGAUCCAGUGAAAUUGUAGUGGAGGUGAAAAUUCCUCCUACCCGCGGCAAGACGGAAAGACCCCGUGGACCUUUACUACAGCUUGACACUGCUAUUUGGAUAAGAAUGUGCAGGAUAGGUGGGAGGCUUUGAGUAUAUGACGCCAGUUGUAUAGGAGCCAUUGUUGAGAUACCACUCUUUCUUAUUUGGGUAGCUAACCAGCUUGAGUUAUCCUCAAGUGGGACAAUGUCUGGUGGGUAGUUUGACUGGGGCGGUCGCCUCCCAAAUAAUAACGGAGGCUUACAAAGGUUGGCUCAGAACGGUUGGAAAUCGUUCAUAGAGUAUAAAGGUAUAAGCCAGCUUAACUGCAAGACAUACAAGUCAAGCAGAGACGAAAGUCGGUCUUAGUGAUCCGGUGGUUCUGUGUGGAAGGGCCAUCGCUCAAAGGAUAAAAGGUACCCCGGGGAUAACAGGCUGAUCUCCCCCAAGAGCUCACAUCGACGGGGAGGUUUGGCACCUCGAUGUCGGCUCAUCGCAUCCUGGGGCUGGAGCAGGUCCCAAGGGUAUGGCUGUUCGCCAUUUAAAGCGGUACGCGAGCUGGGUUCAGAACGUCGUGAGACAGUUCGGUCCCUAUCUGCCGUGGGCGUAAGAAGAUUGAAGAGAUUUGACCCUAGUACGAGAGGACCGGGUUGAACAAACCACUGGUGUAGCUGUUGUUCUGCCAAGAGCAUCGCAGCGUAGCUAAGUUUGGAAAGGAUAAACGCUGAAAGCAUCUAAGCGUGAAGCCAACUCUAAGAUGAAUCUUCUCUAAGCUCUCUAGAAGACUACUAGUUUGAUAGGCUGGGUGUGUAAUGGAUGAAAGUCCUUUAGCUGACCAGUACUAAUAGAGCGUUUGGCUUAUCUUUAAUAAAGCAU
rnacentral:rRNA from 1 species